AACGUAGGUGGCGAGCGUUAUCCGGAUUUACUGGGCGUAAAGCGCGUUCGGGCGGCUUGACAAGUCGGGCAUGAAAUCUCUCGGCUCAACCGGGAGGGGCUGUCCGAAACUGUCGGGCUUGAGGGCAGUAGAGGCAGGUGGAAUUCCCGGUGUAGUGGUGAAAUGCGUAGAGAUCGGGAGGAACACCAGUGGCGAAAGCGGCCUGCUGGGCUGCACCUGACGCUGAAACGCGAAAGCUAGGGGAGCGAACGGG
rnacentral:rRNA from 1 species